CCUACGGGAGGCAGCAGUGAGGAAUAUUGGUCAAUGGGCGUACGCCUGAACCAGCCAAGUCGCGUGAGGGAUGAAUGCUCUAUGGAUCGUAAACCUCUUUUAUAAGGGAAUAACGCGCGGGACGUGUCCCGUUUUGUAGGUAACUUAUGAAUAAGGAUCGGCCAAAUUCGGGCCAGCAGCCGCGGUAAUACGGAGGGUCCGAGCGUUAUCCAGGUUUAUUGGGUUUAAAGGGUGCGUAGGCGGCCGUUUAAGUCAGCGGGUAAAGUCUGUGGCUCAACCAUAGAAUGGCCGUUGAAACUGGGAGGCUUGAGUAUGUUUGAGGCAGGCGGAAUGCGUGGUGUAGCGGUGAAAUGCUUAGAUA
rnacentral:rRNA from 1 species